GUGAGCUGUGAGGAGCAACUUGGUGGAGUAGAGUUUCAAAGCAAAUUUCUUGCUGUUGGAGCCGAGAGCAACUUGAUUCAGCAUCAAAUUGAGGAAUGUUUGACGUGCUCGGAAGCUUAAAUUAGUAUUCCGACGGACCUACGGCGCGCUAAUUAAGAAAUGCUUCGUUCUAGCUUAUUUGCAUCGAGCCGCGAGAGCUAGUUGUUUAUACAAUCCGGGACGUUGGUUUUAGUCUUCGGCAUCCCUACGAGAUCCUAGCGCGAGUGGAGCGGUCGAGAAUCGCGGCAAGAGCCCGGCAUCUUAGCUAGUGGACUCCAGAGGCUAGUUGUAUACCCAUUUUGGUUUCAUGUUGUAUAUAUUGAUGUUAAAGAAACCUGUAAAUGAAUGUAUAAAUGAGCAAGUAAAUAACUAAAUGGUGUAGUUAUUCAACUUUACAUCUUGGUUUAAAGUUUUCAAAAAUACAGUGAAUGCAUGUUUAGUUAGUUACUUUCA